rnacentral:other from 1 species
CAACCUCUGCCGUGCCCGACAGCGUACGCUUACAUUUGCCUUGGCCCUAUUGAACGACUCCGGGGACGCAAACAAGGCCGGUGUGCAUGCCCGCCACGUGCGGUAAGCCCGACGCCACGCAAGCGACCCCACCUGAUCCUCGGGAUCAAGGUCGUUUCGUACGCAUCGACGCGGUGGAGGCUGC